rnacentral:sRNA from 1 species
GAAUGGUGAAAGAGAUGGGAGACUGGCAGGGCUCUAGACUAGGGCCUAUGGGAAGAUGGAGAGAAAGGCGAGGAGAUACGGAACUUGAGGGGUUCGUGCUGAUUAACGGGAGAAAUUAUUCUGAAGUUGAGAAGUAGUUGGGAUCAUGGAGGCCAACCCACCGGCUCCUUGGCUUUACUUCAUUUGGUGUUUUUCACCUGUUGUUUUCAUUUAGGAGCCUGUGGUGCUGACCGACACAAAUCUUGUGUAUCCUGCCCUGAAAUGGGACCUUGAAUACCUGCAAGAGAAUAUUGGCAAUGGAGACUUCUCUGUGUACAGUGCCAGCACCCACAAGUUCUUGUACUAUGAUGAGAAGAAGAUGGCCAAUUUCCAGAACUUUAAGCCGAGGUCCAACAGGGAAGAAAUGAAAUUUCAUGAGUUCGUUGAGAAACUGCAGGAUAUACAGCAGCGAGGAGGGGAAGAGAGGUUGUAUCUGCAGCAAACGCUCAAUGACACUGUGGGCAGGAAGAUUGUCAUGGACUUCUUGGGUUUUAACUGGAACUGGAUUAAUAAGCAACAGG